rnacentral:rRNA from 1 species
CGUAGGGGGCGAGCGUUGUCCGAAGUUACUGGGCGUAAAGCGCGCGUAGGCGGGGGAUUAAGUGAGAGGUGAAAGGCUGGGGCUCAACCUCAUGCAGUGCCUCUCAUACUGGUCUUCUUGAGGGCGGUAGGGAGAAGUGGAAUGGCUGGUGUAGCUGUGAAAUGCGUAGAUAUCAGUCGGAACACCGGUGGCGAAGGCGGCUUCUUGGGCCGUUCCUGACGCUGAGGCGCGAAAGCUGGGGGAGCGAACGGGAUUAGAUACCCCGGUAGUCCCAGCCGUAAACGAUGGAUACUAGGUGUCGGGGGUAUCGACCCCUCCGGUGCCGCAGCUAACGCAUUAAGUAUCCCGCCUGGGGAGUACGGCCGCAAGGUUG